rnacentral:rRNA from 1 species
AUACGGAGGAUGCGAGCGUUAUCCGGAUUUAUUGGGUUUAAAGGGAGCGUAGGCGGGAGCUUAAGUCAGCGGUUAAAUGGUGCGGCUCAACCGUGCCCUGCCGUUGAAACUGGGUUUCUUGAGAGUGCAAGAGGCGGAUGGAAUUCGUUGUGUAGCGGUGAAAUGCAUAGAUAUGACGAAGAACACCGAUUGCGUAGGCAGCUGACCAGACCGCAAAUGACGCUCAUGCACGAAAGUGCGGGGAUCGAACAGGAUUAGAUACCCUGGUAGUCCGCACAGUAAACGAUGAAUACUUGUUUUCGGCGAUAUAAUGUCGGAGGCAAAGCGAAAGCGAUAAGUAUUCCACCUGGGGAGUACGCCGGCAACGGUGAAACUCAAAGGAAUUGGCGGGG